rnacentral:lncRNA from 1 species
GGGCUAGAGUGCAAACUUGCAUCAUUGAUCCUUUAUAUGCAGACAAUUUUGCAUGUUUCAAAAAGUGCAACUCAGGAGAUAUUAAACUGGAUGAGCGAUAUUGUUUCAUUCUUCCCUUCAAAAGGAAAGGGAUGCAUUACAUGAGGAAUUGAAGAAGAAACAUCUCAACAUGGCAUUUGUUGACUCGAAAAUGGAAUCGACAUUCUCAUUGAGAAGGAAGGAGAUAGCUGAAGAAGAACCUCUUUUAGCUGAUGUACUAAGACAAUGACCAGCAUUGUUUUUGGAACAUCAGAUAUGUGCUGAGUUUUACAGAAUCACACAAACAAACCUGAAGAGUAAAUUUUUCUCUUCUCUGGAUGAAUAUACACCGCGGAUGAUCAAGUUGUAUAGGGUACGCGGCGGAGCAUAUGGAGAUAAUAUGAAGACCCUCCUAGACCAACUUGAUAAUCAGACCUCCGAUGUGCUUGCUCAUAGAAAGGCUACAGCUCUCAAAGGGAAAAGUCUGAACAUUUCCUGAAGACUUGCCUGGACACAGAGCCAGAAGAAAA